AACGAACGCUGGCGGCAGGCCUAACACAUGCAAGUCGAGCGCCCCGCCAGGGGAGCGGCGGACGGGUGAGUAACGCGUGGGAAUAUGCCCUUUUCUACGGAAUAGUCUCGGGAAACUGGGGGUAAUACCGUAUACGCCCUUUGGGGGCAAGAUUUAUCGGCGACGGAUUAGCCCGCGUUGGAUUAGGUAGUUGGUGGGGUAAUGGCCUACCAAGCCGACGAUCCAUAGCUGGUUUGAGAGGAUGAUCAGCCACACUGGGACUGAGACACGGCCCAGACUCCUACGGGAGGCAGCAGUGGGGAAUCUUAGAAAAUGGGGGCAACCCUGAUAGAGCCAUGCCGCGUGAGUGAUGAAGGCCUUAGGGUUGUAAAGCUCUUUCAGCUGGGAAGAUAAUGACGGUACCAGCAGAAGAAGCCCCGGCUAACUCCGUG
rnacentral:rRNA from 1 species